GGAAUUCAUGAAGUCUGAGGACUUCUUUCAUUUUACUUUCAACUAAAAGCUCCAGCAUGAAACAGCAAAGGCUCACAGAGCUCAAGAUCAGGAGGUGGCCCUGUGAGAGGGUAUUCGGCCUGGAUCCCUGGUGAAACUCCAUCACUGAGCAGGUCUGUGAUAGCCCGUGUGGUCUGCUUUCUGUAGAUAAUACUCGGAGACUGUGCUGCAAACAUUCUCAGAUUAUUCAAAGAUGAACGAACAGUUCAAAUGGGCAGGUUUCUGUGAGUGCUUCCCUCUCAACCCCUUCCUUUUUUCAGUAUGUCUCCCUAUUUUCUUCCUCUCAAGCGUAUCUACUUCAGAAAACGUGGAAAGAAAAGAGCCUGGUGGGAAAAGUCGAUCAAGUGACAAUGACGUGCCCUUAUGGAAAAAUCUCUGGGUUAAGAAACAAUGGAGAUACCAAACAAGAUAAGACUAAGCCACAGAGAUAUCUGAAAAGCUGCCAUCAAUCAAACCUCUUUGUGAAGCCGGUUAGUGCAGCUUCCAUUGUUCUAAGCAGCAGGCAAAAGGAACAAAUAAAAUCCAGCUGUUUCUUCACUGUGGCACCAGGUGAGUCCCAGUAUCAAUACUUCCUUCAUUGUGGAUUAAGGGGAAAGUGGCCUUCAUUUCCUUUCCCAUUCCACUUUGAAACCUCAGAUUUCUUUCUUUCUACCAGUGAUACCCGGUUGGUGAGUCACAGCCACCUGGGCUCCAGUUCUGGCAUUGCUUGCAAUGUAAUCAUGAGAACCUGAUAGAUAGUGUUAAUAGCAGAGUGAAUCAGGGAUCAGGAAAAAAUACUUUUAGAUUGCUUACCUUUGGAGGGCUUUGCUAUGUUUAAAGAAAGUCAGUUUUUGACACUCAAAUUUAAUUUGCUAUCCUAUACAGCAGCCUUUUCACAUGAUAAUUUUUUUUCACCAAAUAAAGGAAUUUAGUGCGCUAUAAAUUUCCUGAAUGGUGGGAUGUUGAUAAAAGUAAAGCUGUGAAUUGGGGGGUCAUG
rnacentral:lncRNA from 1 species